GACGAACGCUGGCGGCGUGCUUAACACAUGCAAGUCGAACGGAAAGGCCCUGCUUUUGUGGGGUGCUCGAGUGGCGAACGGGUGAGUAACACGUGAGUAACCUGCCCUUGACUUUGGGAUAACUUCAGGAAACUGGGGCUAAUACCGGAUAGGAGCUCCUGCUGCAUGGUGGGGGUUGGAAAGUUUCGGCGGUUGGGGAUGGACUCGCGGCUUAUCAGCUUGUUGGUGGGGUAGUGGCUUACCAAGGCUUUGACGGGUAGCCGGCCUGAGAGGGUGACCGGAAAAAGGGGGAAGGAGAUAGGGCCGAGACGCAAGGGGGGGAAAGGGGGGGGGAAUAGUGAAAAAGGGGGGGAGGCGUGAGGAAGCACCGCGGGGGGGGGGAGAAGGGCUGGGGGUUGGAAAACCGUUUGGGCGGGGAAAGAGGGGAGGGGAAGGGAAAGGGAAAAGAAAAACCGGAAAAAUCAGGG
rnacentral:rRNA from 1 species